AGUACCAGCCUGUCGCGGGCGACGGGUUUAUAUUAUUCUUAUUUCUUAAUUUACCUUUUUUUUUUUACCGCAAUUACAAAAUUACAAAAGUGUAGUUUCAAGAUUGCCAGGGGUCAAGAACAUGGUGGUGGUCGCUGCAACAUGUGAUGCAUGUGAUGAUCCAUUGUAGAAGACAUGCAAAAACUUCAACUCCACCCCCAGCUAAGCGAUUCUGCAUGCCAAGCCAAACCCAUGGGAAGAUCGGAUGGACUCAAAAAAUACUUGGGUCGCCCCAGCUUGCGGGAACAGACAAGCUAAGACAGACAGCCGUUGCGCCGGGGGGGGGCGGUUACCUAGUCUUGUUGAGCUUGCAUCAAUGCUGCAGGAUACGCCCAUGUUCUUCCGAAUCUCCCCAUGGCGGGAUACAUUACGCAGUACAUACAGGCGGGAGGGCCAGGACUGCAAAUUCACAUGCUCGGAGAAUAAAUCGUGCUAAGGAGAUACGAUAGAUAACCGUUGCGAACAUCGGAGGAGGCAGGGGGAAGAAGCUAUGGGAGCCUGAUGCUAUACUAGUGCCAGUCUAAGUAACCCUCUCGUUGCAUCCAUGGAUAAUGUCUGUGUUCUCGGUUCGGGCAAUGGGGGUUUUUUGGCAUGUGGUGGUGGUGGUGGUGCUAACAAGAGCAACUUGAGCUUCAAUUUCAACUUGAAUCCCCGUACCGUAUAGCUGUUGAAUUUAUCUUUCAUUAUUCAAACCACGUUUGACUACAAAGAGAAUAAGAGGUGUCCUUAAUCUAGCAAAGAAAAGAACAGAAAAGUAAAGAAAGGACAAAACGGAAACAAACAAACAAACUAGUAAAUAAAAACCAGCUCUCCAUUCAAUGUUUAUUAUCAUUUCACUUCAUGGGAUCCAUCCUCCUCCACCCCCUUUACCCGUCCCCUGUAUAUUGCUUGCUGUAUGAGUAUAUCCAUCUAUUCAUCCCUAUCUAAGAUGGGGUUUUUCGUAGGAUCAAAUACCAAGUGGAGGGGAAAAAAACCCCUUUACCAGUGUAUAAAGACAGUGGGGACAAUAGAAAAAAAAAACAUUUCCCAACGCAUAUGCCCAAUCUGUUUUCGCACCAUGUAUUCCAACGCGAAAGAAAAGACAAAAAGAGCUCACGAUACAAAAAAAAACAGGGAAUAAAAAGAGAAGGCAAUCAAAAAGGGGCAAGCACAUGAAAAUGGAAUGGCACAAAAUUGCAACCACGUGCUAAUUGAUAUGCAGCAUGUGAAAUAAAUAAAUAAAUCACAGAACAAAAGGGGAAAGGGGGUCAGGAAACGGAAAGCGCUAAACGACUCAAACAGGUCGAAAACAAAAGCAUGUCGGUCAAAGGAAUAAAAGAGCCACGGGGCGGAGGGAGCGGGGCGGGAGGCAGGGAGGGCGACGCCUGGCGGUCGGCGGAGAGGAAAUUAUAUUUGUGUUUCACAACUUAGCCCCCUUAUCAUUCGCGUCUUCAUCCGACACCAUCUCCCAGCCAUUAUUAUUAUUAUAGCUCGGCCGGCCAAUCGACGAGAGCAGGAUACCCACCUCGCGCUCCAACGACGCAACCUCGGAAUGUGGCGCGUACAUCUUCGACCGGAUCCAGGCAUCCAUGUCUGCAUCGCUCAGGUCCCGAAUUCCCGUUUCCCGAUCGACCUUUGCCUCCUGCGCUGCGCGGAUGACUCCGCGUGCUACGAUGACGCUCACAUCUCUGAUCCGGGUGAGGUCUGGGUAGAGGAGGCCGUGAUCGAGUUCCUCUGAGGUAAGGGUUUUGGAGAGAGCUUCGCCGGAUGCGUAGAUCAUGCUGUCGGUGACUUCGACGGCUUUGCUAAGGAUGGUCCCCAGACCGAUACCUGGGAAGACGUACAUGUUGUUGCCCUGACCUGGGUAGUAAGUCUUUAUCUGUCCGGUGGAGUUUUUAUAGGAAAAUGGCUGGAAGGGAGAACCGGAGGCGAAUAAUGCCUGGCCAUCGGUGUGUAUGAUGGCAGAUUCGAAGUCGCAUUCCGAGUUUGCGGACGGGUUCGAGAGGGGGAAGAUUAUGGGUCGCUUGCUGAAAGAGGCCAUACUUCUGAGGAUCUCUGGGGUAAAUACGCCUCCCAGGGUCGACAGGCCCAUGAGCAUGGUGGGCUUGACGUGAUCAACAACCUCAUUCAAUGUCUUUAACUGCAGGCCCUGAUUAUCAGUUCGUGCAAAGUAAACCUUAUGCGAGGCAAGCUGAUCCCCUCGAUCCGCCGUCACGAGACCCUUUGUGUCAACGAGGUAGAAACAGGCCUUGGCCUCGUCUUCCGUCAUUCCUUCGCGAACGAAGAAAUCGACAAUUUGCUUGGCGACACCAACACCAGCACUUCCUGCUCCAAGGAAGACGGCUUUGUGCUCCUUAGCAGGAAUGCCAGAUUGUUUUACGGCAUUUAUGACUCCAGCAAGGAUAACAGCACCGGUUCCCUGGAUGUCGUCAUUGAAGCAGGUAAAUCUAUGGCGGUACCGUUCAAGAGCUGGGAAUGGGUUCUUGAAAUCUUCAAAUUGAAUGACAACGCCAGGCCAUUUCUCAGUCAGAGCGGUCAUCAGUUCGUCCAUAAAUUCCAAUUCUUGCUCUGGGCUCACCUUGUUUCGACGACUACCUAGAUAAAGAGGAUCUUCUCUCAACGCCUUAUUGCUCGUUCCCAGAUCUAGGGUUAGAGGCAGAGUGGCUUCCGGCCUGAUACCAGCGCAGGCGGUGUAUAGGGCAAGCUUUCCAAUGGGGAUACCCAUUCCAUUGAUGCCAAGGUCUCCCAAGCCAAGGAUUCUAGAGCCAUCCGUGAUAACGGUAAUAUCGACUUGUGGCUGGGGCCAAUUUUGGAUGACAGCUGCAAUAUUGCCUCUAUCCUCGUAACUGAUAUACAUUCCUUCAGGCUGUUGGUAUAUUUCGGACCAUCUCUGACAAGCUUCACCCACAACGGGCGUGUAUAUCAACGGGGUGAGUUCCUUUAGAUGGUCUACAACCAAACGGUAGAAAAGAUGGACGUUAUUCCGGCGUAGAGUGCUGAGGUAGAGGAACUUGUCGAUGGAGGUUGCUUUCACAGCAAGCUGCCUCAGGCAUCUUGUCUUUUGUGUCUCAUAGCUUUCCACGCGCGGAGGCGUCAGACCGUACGAUCGAAGGUAUUUGCGGAUGUAGCCAGGGUUUGCGGUGUCAUAGGAGCCGUCUGCAGGAACAUUGACCGGCGCGGAGGAAUGCACACAGCUGCGCUGCUGGAAACGGGGUACGCUGUGACUCAUGAUGAUGGGCCAGCAGGAGGAAUGAGAUGGAAGCAGUAGAGAUUGAGUCAAGUUCUUUAGAAGAUGCACAGAGAUAGAUGAUUUUGGAGGGGAGAGGAGAGCGCCGCCGAAGUAGUAACCAGAGAGCUUAUUUAUGUGGCCAGACAACAUCUGGCUGUCUGGGGCAAAGGUUGGUUUCGUGUCGCUGCCACCACCCAAGACAUUUAAUUAUUUUUGAUUACUAGUACUGAGCAGCGACGGGGUGAAUUGGCACAGGCGAAGCGCCACCACAACGUCCCGAAGAACCCAUCACCAUGUCCAUUUGCUUCUCUACCGCGGACACUAGCCCAGCAGUUCUGGGGAUCGAUUUCGCUGGAACACGCUCAGGGCAAGCCGGACUCGGGAGAUGCCGGGUUGGGGCGCCUGGGAAAACUAGCAGUAACAGUAGAUCAGAACUACGAAACGGUGAAAGAAGUGGUCAAUGGCUGAUGCGAGAAGUCUAACAUUCGCUUCCGCGGUCUUUUUUCUGACGCACAAGGGUGGAGAGCAGGAUAUCUAUACCUCGUGUCGGGGUUUUCCCAACAGAAAGAAUUGAGUUUGGUUAUGUGUGCCCCUGAGCUUUUUUUUUUUUUUAAGAAAAAAUAAUAAUCCCUGUCCUCUCGGUUUGCUACUCUAGCUCGAUACACUAACUGGCAGCUUCAGGAGAGCUGGGGAUUUUUAGUGACAAAAUCCUGGGUUAGGAGAGCUCAUCCAUACAUUCAACUAACGGGAGCCAGGCUGGGAUUCGAAAAACUCGGGACAGCACAUGGAUAUUGUUGCGCUUGUUGCUAAGAUGAAUUCGCAGAACGAAAACAACAGCCUUCAUUCGUUCAAGUUAGAUACCUGCCACCACCGUCCUUCUCAGCAGUCGCAUGUCCCAUAAGUCGCUGCUGGAAACCCAGUGGGCUCCGCCAAUGAGCUGGUCAGGUCCCGAGGUCACAACAACCAGGAAGCCUCCCCUGAUUCUGAUACAUCCAUCCCACAUGUAAUCUGUAGCCCGGGAGCAAAUACUGCUUUUUCUUUUUCUUCUUCCCUACUUCUUUGCUUUCUUUUCUUUUUCCGAGGCGGGGGUUUUGCUGCAGGAUCGCGGUAUCACCCGAUAUUCUAGUGUCAAAGCAAGGCUGCUCUAGACUGUAAUUGGU
rnacentral:sRNA from 1 species